CAGAACACAUAAAUCAAGGAACCAGCUCUGUUUGAACGAAAAGGUUAACGCCAUGCAAAGCGAGUCGUGGCGACUGUGUUCUAAAACGAGCGGCUAUCUCUCCCUGUUUCUUUAUCUGUUUCAACGACCGUAACGGCCACGUUACGGUAAGGCGGCGACUUCACAUGGCGCAAGAAAAAAAAAAAAAUCAGCAUACAUGGCGUGAUGGUGGCCUGAUGUCUGCCAAAACAGAAAUUUGACCAGCCAAAGUAUUCCCACGAAAAGAGUCGGAUCAGAACAGUCACAAAACAACAUGAAUUUUUAUCUGAAUUUUGUGAUGUCUGAGCAAAGUUUAAAAUGAAAAAAAGGAAGAUGAUUCCAAGUCCACAACAUCCUUGGAGUUAUACUACGAGGUAUAUCUAGGGGUGGAUCUUCAUCUUCUGUCAAAGUCUGGCACAGUUGUAUUAUGAAGCUCAAGGAAACCUAUUGUGUAAUGCAACCACACGGCCCUAGUGACCUCACGUGAUAAGACUAAAAUCCGUGAUAGAGGAAAUGAAAUGGUACCAUUUUUACAACGCAAGCAAAUUUGGAAAAUUUGGAUGUCGCCACAUGUUGACGCCAUGCUAAUCUGCCACGUCCGCUUUUGAUAAGGAGAAAUAAAGCGUUCUGAAAGUAUUCCAGGUAAAAUGUGUCUACGUCAACAGAAAAGACGCGGAUGCGAACUUGAGUUGCCGCCAAUUGGCACUUGUUUUUAGACCUAAAUCCGAGAUGCGCCAAUUUUUAAGUUAUUAAUACUUUUUUUUUUUCACUUUAAGUGAUCUUUAAAAAGACUGACCUGAAGGUUACUAAAAAAUUCAA